GAUUGGAGCACUCGCCAAUGCAGACGAACUAAGCAGUCAGCUUUGCCUGUGAUACAGCCAGAACAACACGAUGGAGCUGGAGGACCUGUACCGGCGCUACUGCUCGCGGCUGAAGCAGUCGCUCUUCCUGUCCGGACUCGGUGUUUCCACGGCCAGCUGCGCGUGCGCACUCACCGCUCUGCUCAUACAGGGCGGCGCAGGCGAGUCGCCGGUGCCGGUGUGGGUGCUGUCGGCGAUGUGCGCGGGCAGCGGCGCG